rnacentral:tRNA from 1 species
AGCAGCAUGGCUCAGUGGAAAGAGCACGGGCUUGGGAGUCAGAGGUCAUGGGUUCGAAUCCCAGCUCUGCCA